GCCCUCACAAUCAAGUCAUGCAUUGAAUAUCUCGUCUCUUCCUUCCCCUAACGGAUCAAAACCCUAACAAUUCAUAAACUUCGUCUCAUCAGCUCCUAUCUGUGAUUAUUUCAAUUCUUUCCCCCAACAGAGAUACACUUGAAAUCGAUGAAUGGGUGUAGAAAUCGAUCAAAUGGUACCUGUAAUUGCACUCGGUUUGGGUUAGUUUCGAGAAUGGGAGAAGAAUUGAAGAUUGAUCCGUUUCGUGGGUGACUUGGUGCGCAUAUCUAAGGCCCGUGACAACCGGAUCAACUACUGUUCAAGUUGAGAAUAUUGAAAGAGCAAUCGAGAGGCAAAGAGUCGUUCAAGAGCACCUUCAUCUGUCGUCCUUCGAUUUUUCAAUCUCUGUAAUUUUAUUAUCACCAAGCUGCUUCUUAUAUGUUGUUAUUUUAUUCAGCAAUUAGCAUUUACGAUUGGGGAUUUCGCUCUUUUCUUCUUCUAUUGUUGAUGAUUUUCUUCGUUAUCCAUGUCCAUACUGUUUAUAAUAAUCGUUAAUUUGUAGUUUCCAAUUGAUCGUGAUGAUGAACAGAAGAAACUGUUGAUGUUGAAUGAUGAUGAGUCCACACCAAAGAUAAAGGUUAUGGUUGGGGACCAAAAUGUCGGAAUUAUUGGAUUAAUCAGAUUUUUAAAAGGGUUGCUACAUAAAAGUUAAUGGCAACUGCAGACCUCAACACACUUGCAUAGAAGUUGUUCGUUUCGGCUCACACUAUAUGAGAAAAUCCAACAUUCAACAUUAAUCAAUAAAAAAGGUAACUUUAACAACUUACAGGCAAUUGAACAUCAACAAUUUUGCAAACGAUCUUAGGAGAUAGUCCAAAAGAAGGAACAAUUUUGCAUUAAUUAUAAUGAUCGACUUAAAUUGAUUCUAUAUGUGAAUUAUUUCUAUCCAAGUUUUUAUUUAUGGUUUGUUAAAAAUCAUCAUGUUCCCCGCUGCGGAGCGCAAGUCCUCUCGGCUCUGGACCAGUUCCGCGCAACUAAACCCGACGUUUUCUUUGCCGACUUCUCUUUUGUUGUUCACAUGUUCUUUGUGUCUGACGAUGCCAAAUCAACAGUGACGAUGGCAACAGUGCGACCAAUGGCGAUGACGGUGUUGUUGUCAUCAAGGGGGUUGUAUCUCUGUAUAUACAUGCCCGCAACCUCUGUAUUUUCCUGUCUUUGUUCAUAGUAGGAGCUUUUUUAUCCAUUAUUGUAAUUGGUGUGCUCGAUCUAUAUCCUGUCUUUGCAUUAGAUAACUUCACCACUAGGUAAACGUCCGUAUCCUGCUAAAUCAAUUGAUGUUGUUUUACAAUAGAAAUUCUUAAUUGAUUUGUAGGAGUUUUUUAGAUUUGGGACUAAAGGCUCUUGAGUUCCUAUAAUAGCAGUUCUUUGUUUAUACAAGAGUUUGGAUUCAUAUCAAGUUGGGUUCCUUUAGUUUGUUUUCUGCUUAUUCAUGAUAAAUAUGAUAUUUAUGGUUAUGUCUAUGAAAGGUCAGUACUCUUUAGUUCAAGAUUCUAAGUGGAAAAUUUAAAUUAACCAAUGGCAGUGUAGUAGUGACAAACCUAAGGUUAGGAUAUUUGCACAAAUUUUGUUGAUGAGUAUGAAUCAAGCAUUUGCUUGAAAGUGUAUUUGAUAUUCAUUUGUUGCCACUACCAUGUACCCAAACAAAAAUAACAUGAAUAUGUUGUUUGUGUAACAAAUAACAACUUACUGAUAGCACUUUUUUUUUAGUUUUGAUGUCGAAUUCAAUUACAUUUAGAGGGGGCAAUCUUGACCCAAAGCCUUCCAAGUGGGUCAGUUUAGGUUGCUUUUAACAUUAUAUGGGUUGGUUUGCGUAAGAUAUUUUAACUAAAUAGGUCACAAUGGGUCACUUGAAAUUCCAUCUUGUUAUUUUCGGGUCAAAGCGGGUCGACAACAUUAAAUAAAUGGGUCGAUGUGGGUUAGUGUCUUAAAGAAACGGGGAAGGUUUCGGAUCGGAAUGGGUUCGAGCCGACACAAGUAUCCGCACGAGACGCGUUAGGCACGAAACGGGUUUGGAUCGGAACGGGUUCAGUUCAAAUUGAGUUUCAGGCCGAGACGGGUUUCGGCACGACGCAGUUUUUGGAUCGAAACGGGGUCGGUUCUGUAGAUGCAUAUGUCUGUAGCUUUCGUCUGUAUUUAGUCUAUAUUAACCUGGUUGUGGUCUUUGUAUAGUUUUUGUAUAUGUUUCAUAUAAUAUCCGGGACGAAAUGGUAGUUAACCUGUUUUGUAAAGUCCAUCCGAACGGAUGGAGUCCAUCCGAUCGGAUGGACAUGCUCAUCUAGACGGAUGAUCAUCCGAACGGUGUGAUGGUUUCUCCCGGAUGGAGCGCGCCUAUAAGGGUGAGAGGGGCACUCCUCUCUUAGGGGAGUCCCCUCUCUUACACACACCCAAUCAGCACGUGCCACGUCAACUCCCCUCUUAAGUCCCUAUUUUGCACUCAAACGUUGGCAUCACUCCACUCACACAAUUAUUUUUU
rnacentral:lncRNA from 1 species